UCGUCACGGUCUGCCUCUCCCUCCUCCUCCGCUCCCUCUAGUAUACACAGGUCUGGUCGACAGUGUGUAAGGUAGGCAUGCAGCUCGUCAGAGCUACAGGGGGAAACGAACGCAGUUGUUCAGAACGGUUGAGAUGACAAUAACCCCAACAGCUGCGUCAACAUGCAGACGACUGAACCCGCAGCCGCACAAACAUCAGACUCCCGGCACUACCUGAUGAUGACCUCCGAGUGAAUCUCUGCUGACCUCUGCUGGGAGGAGUUGAAGUGAACAUGUGAGAUGUCGGAGAAGAAGGAGACAGAUGCCAGAUUGUCAAC